AUGAACGCUAGCUACAGGCUUAACACAUGCAAGUCGAGGGGCAGCAUGGUCUUAGCUUGCUAAGGCCGAUGGCGACCGGCGCACGGGUGAGUAACACGUAUCCAACCUGCCGUCUACUCUUGGACAGCCUUCUGAAAGGAAGAUUAAUACAAGAUGGCAUCAUGAGUCCACAUGUUCACAUGAUUAAAGGUAUUCCGGUAGACGAUGGGGAUGCGUUCCAUUAGAUAGUAGGCGGGGUAACGGCCCACCUAGUCUUCGAUGGAUAGGGGUUCUGAGAGGAAGGUCCCCCACAUUGGAACUGAGACACGGUCCAAACUCCUACGGGAGGCAGCAGUGAGGAAUAUUGGUCAAUGGGCGAGAGCCUGAACCAGCCAAGUAGCGUGAAGGAUGACUGCCCUAUGGGUUGUAAACUUCUUUUAUAAAGGAAUAAAGUCGGGUAUGGAUACCCGUUUGCAUGUACUUUAUGAAUAAGGAUCGGCUAACUCCGUGCCAGCAGCCGCGGUAAUACGGAGGAUCCGAGCGUUAUCCGGAUUUAUUGGGUUUAAAGGGAGCGUAGAUGGAUGUUUAAGUCAGUUGUGAAAGUUUGCGGCUCAACCGUAAAAUUGCAGUUGAUACUGGAUAUCUUGAGUGCAGUUGAGGCAGGCGGAAUUCGUGGUGUAGCGGUGAAAUGCUUAGAUAUCACGAAGAACUCCGAUUGCGAAGGCAGCCUGCUAAGCUGCAACUGACAUUGAGGCUCGAAAGUGUGGGUAUCAAACAGGAUUAGAUACCCUGGUAGUCCACACGGUAAACGAUGAAUACUCGCUGUUUGCGAUAUACGGCAAGCGGCAAAGCGAAAGCGUUAAGUAUUCCACCUGGGGAGUACGCCGGCAACGGUGAAACUCAAAGGAAUUGACGGGGGCCCGCACAAGCGGAGGAACAGGUGGUGUAAUUCGAUGAUACGCGAGGAACCUUACCCGGGCUUAAAUUGCAGAUGAAUUACGGUGAAAGCCGUAAGCCGCAAGGCAUCUGUGAAGGUGCUGCAUGGUUGUCGUCAGCUCGUGCCGUGAGGUGUCGGCUUAAGUGCCAUAACGAGCGCAACCCUUAUCUUUAGUUACUAACAGGUCAUGCUGAGGACUCUAGAGAGACUGCCGUCGUAAGAUGUGAGGAAGGUGGGGAUGACGUCAAAUCAGCACGGCCCUUACGUCCGGGGCUACACACGUGUUACAAUGGGGGGUACAGAGGGCCGCUACCACGCGAGUGGAUGCCAAUCCCCAAAACCUCUCUCAGUUCGGACUGGAGUCUGCAACCCGACUCCACGAAGCUGGAUUCGCUAGUAAUCGCGCAUCAGCCACGGCGCGGUGAAUACGUUCCCGGGCCUUGUACACACCGCCCGUCAAGCCAUGGGAGCCGGGGGUACCUGAAGUGCGUAACCGCGAGGAGCGCCCUAGGGUAAAACUGGUGACUGGGGCU
rnacentral:rRNA from 1 species